rnacentral:rRNA from 1 species
CCUACGGGUGGCAGCAGUGGGGGAUAUUGCACAAUGGGGGGAACCCUGAUGCAGCGACGCCGCGUGGGUGAAGAAGCGCCUCGGCGCGUAAAGCUCUGUCAGCAGGGAAGAAAAUGACGGUACCUGACGAAGAAGCCCCGGCUAACUACGUGCCAGCAGCCGCGGUAAUACGUAGGGGGCAAGCGUUAUCCGGAUUUACUGGGUGUAAAGGGGGCGCAGACGGCGGUGCAAGUCUGGAGUGAAAGGCGGGGGCCCAACCCCGGGACUGCUCUGGAAACUGCGUGGCUGGAGUGCAGGAGGGGUAAGCGGAAUUCCUGGUGUAGCGGUGAAAUGCGUAGAUAUCAGGAGGAACACCAGUGGCGAAGGCGGCCUGCUGGACUGCAACUGACGUUGAGGCCCGAAAGCGUGGGGAGCAAACAGGAUUAGAUACCCGUGUAGUC